GCAUAUUUUCUUAAAUGAUGAAGGUAUUUCAUGACCAGCAGGAAUGGCCCUUCCUAGAAUGGAUCUAGCAUACAAAGGCUUUACAGACUAUUUAGCAUUCACUGCUCCAUGGUGAAUGAAAAGAGAUGUCACUGUCAAGUUCAGAACAAGAACAGAAGACAGGAGAUGGCAUAGUGAUAUAUGAUGUCCACCAUCUGAUCAUACCAUGCUUCCCUGAGACCAUAAGCCAAACAUAAAGCCUCUCUUCUCAUCAACUAUCUUUGGUCUGGUGCUGUGUUCCAGUGAUACAAAGAUCAGAGUGUCAUCUAUCCAAGGCUGGCCUCAAGUCUCCCGUGGAUGAUAUUGACAGGAUGCUCCUUUUAUAAUCUCCCUAGUUCUGGGUUUGUAGGCCUACACCACCACAACUGUCUUUAAUGUUCAUUUGUAAGUGACAUACUUAUGUAGGAAUAGUGUCCCACUCCUUAAUCUAUUGUUUUCAAGUCAAUGGUUUGUUUGGGUAAUUUCAUAGCAUCUAGUUUUAACAUGUAUAGAUGUCUAAUUAAUGAUGAAGAUAAUGCUCCAAAUACAAGAUUUUUACCUACUACCUCAGAAAAUGAAGCAGACCAAGAAUUUAUUUAAUGAUACAUAUAAGAAAGGGCUGGGGAGAUAGCUCAAGGUUUUAAAAACACUUGCUGUCCAAGCUUGAUGACCAGAGUCCAGAUCCCAAGAACCCAAGUAAAGCUUUGCUCAUGGAGAACAUAUGUCAAUAAUCCCAGUAUGCCUACACCAACUGAAGACAGGGGAAAAAGAGUAGCAAAGCUCACAGGCUAUCUACUCAGUAUUUACAGUGACAAGAGACUCUGUCUCAAGCAGGGUGGAACAAAAGCACCAAUACCUCAAGGUUGUCCUCUGAUUGUCAAGAGUGUACCAUUGCAUGUUCUACAUGCACAU